AGCGUUUCUCUCUCUCCCUAUUGUCGCCGUCUCCAAUUGUUUACAGAGUUUUUGUUAAUUUCAUAGGAGCUUUUCUACACAACAACACUUGAUUCUCUCUCAAUUUUAAAGGAUAGUAUAUUUGAUUUUGAAACGAUUAGGAUGAAUAUGAUUUGUGAUAUUGUUGUUUGUUCGUUGGAUGUAGUUUUUUUUUUAUGAUGAUGAUACAGGAGAUUUCUUGCUAUUUUGAUCUGGAGCUUGGGAAAAUCAAGACUAAACGUUUUGCUGCAAGAGAGUGUAAUGGUGGACGACAUGAUUGACACAACAGGGAGCCAUUGAGCCAGUUCGACGUUGGGGACUGAUUGAGUGAAGCAACAACGGUAAAUAAUCGACUUAUGGAACUUUCAUGUGAAAGCUAAUUUCCUCCACGGAUCAAGGGAGUUUGUGUUAAAUGCAUUUUUAGAAUUCCGUAUUUUGUAGUUGGGGCACAUGUAUAUGUCAUAUAUUGUGUGACAUUUUGAUUUAUCUAUAAGUUGCAGAGAGAAUGUUGUGGCUGGUGAUUUUACUGCUGAUAUGGGUCAUUCGUAAAUGGUUUUACGAGACCAAACAUGUUGAACACAAAGGCCAGCUGGAUUUGGUGAUUGAGACUGAUAAAGGAUGUGAAGAACUCGUGUUUAAUCAUCUCAGGCAGCUUUUUCCCAACCACAAGUUCAUUGGAGAAGAAACUGCAGCUGCCUUCGGUGUGACUGAACUGACUGAUGAACCAACUUUGAUUGUUGAUCCUCUUGAUGGAACUACUAAUUUCGUUCACGGGUUCCCUUUUGUGUGUGUUUCCAUUGGACUUACCAUCGGAAAAGUCCCAGUGGUUGGCGUUGUUUUCAAUCCGAUUAUGGAUGAGCUAUAUAUCGGUGUCCAAACAUGUUGAACACAAAGGCCAGGUGGAUUUGGUGACAGAGACCGAUAAGGAUGUGAAGAUUUCGUCUUUAAUCAUCUCAAGCAGCUUUUCCCAACCACAAGACUCUUGAAGAGGCUCUGAACAAGCUAGAGGGUGUUACAUGCAAUAGAGCAGAAGGAGCUAUGUAUCUAUUCCCUUGCCUUAACCUUUCAAAGAAGGCGAUUGCAGCUGCAGAGGCUGAAAAGACAGCACAAGACAACUACUACUACAAACGCAUUCUAAAAGCUACUAGAAUAGUUGUAGUCCCUGGUUCCGGCUUUAGACAGGUUUGAAAAAAGGAAAAAGCUUUCGCUUUAAAGAACCAAACCAAACUAGGUGAGAAGAAGAGCAAAGAUCUUCGAUCAAACGCGAAGAUUAUGACGAUGAUGAUGAUGGUCUUUUCAGAGAUGUAGUGAUGGUGAUAGAGAUCUUAGACCUUCUCGCCGAUCCAUGAAGCGAGGGACUUCAAACGAUACAGUUCAAGGAGCUUUCCAAUCUGUUUGAAGAGAAAGAGUCAAGCUUGGAGGAAGUGAAGCAAGAAGACAUCAAACAGAGAUGGGUUUAUCGAUCCAAUAGAUUUGCCAAGAGUUUUGACUGCCCUUGGCUUAAAACAAGGAUCUAACAGUAAGCGUUGCAGGAGAAUGAUCAGAUCAUUCAAUGGAAAUAAAGACAGAAUAAUCGAUUUCUAUAGAUUUGUGAAAUUCAUGGAGAACAAUCUAUUAGUUUAUUUAUCCCUUAUUUUCUUCUUGCUGAGUCUUUUACUAUAGUUGUGUCAGAACCUUUUUAAAAUUUCUGAACUGUCACUAAAGACCGUUAAAACUAAUGAGAAUGGAGAUAAUUGUCACAGA